GAACUUACGACCAUUUACAAACAGUUCAUUGUAGAGUCUUGCAGUUAGUGGAAUAAUUAUUUCUUUCACUAAUGUUUUGUAUCCAUAUAUUUUUCGCGGGAACCGUGUGUAAGUGUGACCGAAAAAAUGCGCGUAUGUAACGUAUUGGACCAGUAAAUAAGCUAUUGUUGAAGUUUCUAAUUUAUUGUCACCUUUUCCGGGACAUGUUAUAUGUUAUAUGCGCUGUGUCAGAGGUAAUCUGUUCUAUAAUUGCACUUCGGGCGAAGGACUACUGUUGAAGUAUUAUACUUUUAACAUUUAAAUAUUAAUUAAAUACUAAUAAGUUAAAUUGUCCAUUAAUUGAAAACAAUAAUUUUAAUUUUACAGACUAGUCAAAUUAUUUACGACUUUGGAUGAUGGUUGUCGUUUUCCUGUUCUGGCAUAGGUGUGCUGUCUGUGUUGAUUCUAAUUAGUGUCACUCCUCCCUCCCAUUACGUGUUUAAAUAUGGAUGUUUAUAAAAAGCCAGAGAUCGACCAAAAAAAAGAUUUAUUUUAAACCUUGUUAUAGAUAAAAUAUAAUUUUUUCCUGAGGAUUCCAGAAUCUUAUGCCAACUGUUAAUUUUUCUUUUAUUUAUUUAUUUUAAAAUUAUUGUAGGUACUUUGAUUACAAAAUCACUUUAUAUUGAACAUUGUAAAAUAUAUGUGGAACUUUUGAGAGUUGGCAGAGUGCUAUAGAGCAGAGGUAGCUUCAUCAAUGGCAAACUUGGGAGCCUGGAAUGUGAAUAAUGAUUUAUUUAUUGUCCAGAUUUGCAGUAUCUGAAUUGACUUCCUUCACUGUACAAGAAACAUGUGUGUACAAAAUAAUUUAACUAUAUAGGGUGUCCCAUGAAGAUUCGAUGAAUGCAAUAACUUUUGUUCUAUUCAAUAUUAUUGAUAUACAUUUUUUUUAAAUAAUUAGUAUGCCUCAGUGCUACAGUUUAUAUAUGAAAAUUUUUUUUAGGGGGACUUAAAAUAAAAAAUUUUAAAUUUUACUAUAAACCAUUUUGUAAAAUAGAUUAUUAGAAAAU